rnacentral:lncRNA from 1 species
UCUGAUGGUAAACAAUCCACUUACAACCGAGAUGUUGUGAGUUUGAGUCUCUCCAAGAGCAAGGUGAUAAGUUCUUGGAAGGAAGGAUGUCGGAUGUCUAUUUGGAAACAGUCUCUCUACCCCAGAGUAGGGGUAAAGUCUACGUACACACUACCCUCCCCAGACUCCACUAAGUAUGAUUAUACUGGGUUGUUGUUAUUGUUGUAAUCUAUUUAGAGUCAAUAUAUAUAAUUGUGAGAAAAAGCUCAUGACCUUGUGUUUACUUUGACAUGCUCACUGACUAGAGUUCGCCGAUCAUCAUCGUCAGGAUAGAAAAGAAAAAAAGAAGAAGAAAAGUCUCCUAUUAACACUCAAGGUCAGCCAUGAACUUUAACAAUAAAAGUAAUUUAUUUUAAUUUUAUUUUGUGUCUGAGAUUGUGAUCAUCAUAUCAUGCCUUCUUUUAAUUGCUUUCUUGUGCGAUCAUUGAACUAUAUACUGAGGAACCAUGCGGCUGUUAUUUCCUACUUUGAAUGAUUUUACACUUCUGGUGUUUUUUAACUUCUUUGCUAAUGUUGACUUGAAUUGGGUCAUCAGAGCUCCUGUUAAUUAGCUAUUUGUUCAACAAGUCUAACAGAUGGAUCAACAAUAUGUAUAAAUUUGUG